CCGGUCCCGCCAGGAUCGCGCUGGCCCCGCUCCGCUGUCGGGAGCGAUGGCAUCCGCACUGCCAGAGGGACGGAGCUGGCAGAGAGAUGACAUUCCUGCCUGGAACAGAUACAACUGCAGUGUGAAUGGAGAGCUAUCCUCAUAUGGCUGCAAGCACGCAAUGCUGAUGGGCGAGUUAAGUGUCCUUAGCCACCCCUUCUCUCUCUGCAGUAAAUUCACCUCUUGGGCACAAGGGUCCCGGAGUAUGAAGCUGCUGUUGUGCUAGUGCUGCUCCCAGCUGUGCUGCUGUCACUGUGCUGCUACAGUUGUGAGUGCUAGAACACACGCCUUAAACAGCUAGAAUACUCUUGGUGAGUCAGACAUAGUUCUGUUGCACCCCAUGCAGUAUCACUGCAGGGGAGUUUAUGACAGAAAGCAAAGAUCUCUGUGGUCUGUAGAAAUGACGCUGACAGUCUGAUAAAUGCAAUACAAGUUUCACCAGACAAAUUGAGUUAUGUGGUGACAAAUGUCAUCAGCUACUGUAUACUGCAGCACUAAAAUGUUACCUCCCUUUGCCAUCCUGCUCAGUUUGCUCUUCCUUGCUCUUGUAGAAAUCAGAAAUCAUUACAUUUAGCAAGAUGUCUACCUGCUUUUUUAAAAAAUGUUUUCUGUGUACUUUCCGUCUCUAGACUUUGUACUAGGGGUGUCUGCAUUGCUGAAAAUUGGAAAAAGCAAAUGAAAAUACUAAUAAAAUGUUUUCUGAAAUGUUUAAAAUGUAAAUUUUCUUCAAGAUUCAAUGUCCCACUGAAUAGUUAUGUAACAAUGCUUAAAUGCAGUCUUUUCUUAGUCUUUCAUUAGGCAUAAUGAAUAUAAUGUAAAGUCACAUCAAAAGAUAGUAACAUACUACUGUGAGACAAAAGCCUUGUGAGUCUUGUCAUUCAUAGGAAAUCAUGUUUGGCAGAAACAUAUUUCUUUUAAGUUUCAUUACAAAGUAAAAAAAAAAUAAAAUUAAAAUGCCGAGUAAACAGACGUCUCAUCGUGUCUGAAGGUCCACUUCCACAUCUCUGUGUCUUUUAAGAGUGUUAGGCCAGGUUCCAAGAGGGAUUCACUUUCUACUAGAACUCCAAUCCCUGCAAGAGCAUUAGGCUUACUGCCAGCAUUCAUUUAGUCUCAGAACAGCUUAAAUUAACUCCUGUUACAUUCUGUCUAAACCCUUUCUUACAGAGUAAGAGUUGAGAGCUGAGUUCAGUCAGUUAGUCUGAAGGCCACCCAUGAUGCUUGUCAGUCUUCCCGGACUUCAAAUGCUGCAUGAACUGGAUUGGGGAAGGCAGUGAUCAGCCGUUUCUUAGGUGUAGACUCCUGUGGCUGGUCUAUAAUGGAGAGAUUUAGUUGAAGUAGUCCAGAGGAUCCACAGCACAUCAGCCAUAACUUAAUUUCUGAGAAACAGAGGAGUCUGGUGGAACUAAAGCAUUCACAAGGAGGUUUCUGUGAAAGGGCAGAGGUGUGUAAGACAUGGGUAAGGUUCAUCCCACUAAAAAGAAAUGUCUACAUAUAGGUGUCUGUAUCUGAAUUUAUCUCCUUAUGCUCUUAUUAAUAGGGUAAGUAUUCAUCUCAUCAUUGUCUCAUCCCAAGAUAAAUGUUGAAGUGGCUCAGUUGAAUCUCAAGCAAAGAAAUACCUAUUAUUGGUCUUUCUGACUGUAAGGGGAACAGAGAUGACUUUUGUGCAGUUGUAAAUGUCUACACUUUUCUUUACUGUGUCUAGUUGCUGCAGAGAUUGUUGGAAAGGAACUCUUGCAAAUCUGGAUAUCAAACUUGCUGGGCACAUAUGCUGUCAGAGUUGGCAACAAAGGAGAUAAUCACACAGGGUUUGAUUAUGGAUUCCACCCUGAUGACAGAUGAAAGCAGGGACAUGUUACUUCAAGGUGCAUCUGUGGGAAGAAUGUUGCAUGGGAGAAGUUGUGAUAUCCUCACUCUCUCCCUGUGUACUAACUUGUUACUAGGCUUAUGAACAUCUGUAUUUGGGAGCACUGGAAUUUAUGUCUUUUUUGUGUCUUGACUUACAUGAAAAAUAUAUAUAUAUCCUGUCAGUCCAGACAUUACUGCUGUCAUCUGCUGCAGAGAGAGCUUGAAGGGAGCUCAAAGGUAGAUUAUCCAAUGUUCCAGAGGAUACUUGCCUACUUGCCUGUGGUAGUGGAAGGCAUUUAGGAGUGCUCAGCAUACCAUGCUAGGUUGCCCCCGAGUUUAGGUGGGAGGGAUUCUUCGAGAAGGGAGGGGGGUGACUGAUGACAGCAAAUUAUUGGUUGU